ACUCCUACGGGAGGCAGCAGUAAGGAAUAUUGCGCAAUGGGCGAAAGCCUGACGCAGCGACGCCGCGUGGGGAUGAAGGUCUUCGGAUUGUAAACCCUUCGUCAGGGAAGGAUGGGCGGGCAGCAGCUCGGACGGUACCUGCAGAAGCAGCCACGGCUAACUUCGUGCCAGCAGCCGCGGUAAUACGAAGGUGGCAAGCGUUGUUCGGAUUUUACUGGGCGUACAGGGAGCGUAGGCGGUUAGGUAAGCCCUUCGUGAAAUCUCCGGGCCUAACCCGGAAAGUGCGGGGGNGG
rnacentral:rRNA from 1 species